rnacentral:rRNA from 1 species
UGCGUAGGCGGGUUUCUAAGUCAGAGGUGAAAGCCUGGAGCUCAACUCCAGAACUGCCUUUGAUACUGGAAGUCUUGAGUAUGGCAGAGGUGAGUGGAACUGCGAGUGUAGAGGUGAAAUUCGUAGAUAUUCGCAAGAACACCAGUGGCGAAGGCGGCUCACUGGGCCAUUACUGACGCUGAGGCACGAAAGCGUGGGAGCAAACA